UCCUUUGUAGCUCAGUUGGUAGAGCAUGGCACUGGUAAUGCCAGGGUAGUGGGUUAGUUUCUCAGGAC
rnacentral:tRNA from 1 species